CUGGAGCCAUACUUCAAGGGAAGAAGCAAAGCCUCAAACUUGAGGAAGAUCUGUUUUGGCACCUCCAUGGACAAAUACGUUGAUAAGUACGCUGAUUUUGUGGCGUGCCCAGAGGGCACCACAAAAAUGCAACAAAACGCCGUGUCAAAGACCACAAGAACAAAAGUGUUCAUCAAAUAUAUGAUGCUGGGGUGGUCAUCCAUUAAAUACUGGACGUGGGAGUUUAUGGACAACGUCCUUAUUUUGAAGUCCUACCCUGCUCUUUUGAGAGCAUUUGGCCUGGCUCCCACCACAGUAGUCUUGUAUGUUGGCCAGGCCAUUUCUUUUGUGGAGUACAUGAGGGACAUCCCCCCCAAGUAUUCUUGAAUUUCCAGCCAGACGUUGUCCCUCAUCUUCAGGGAGCUAAAAAAAAUCUACAGGGACACUGGCCGCACUGUCCUUGGUCACCAGUUUCUCGUAAAACAACAAAAACAGCAGAGACUGGUGGCCAAGGCAGACCUGGCCAAAUGUCAGGCCUUG